UUGACCUCGGAUCAGGUAGGGAUACCCGCUGAACUUAAGCAUACAA
rnacentral:rRNA from 2 species